AACGCGUGAGGAUCUGCCCUUCAGUGAAGGAUACCCUUGAGAAAUUAAGGUUAAUACUGCAUACGUCCCUUUUUAACAAAAGGGAGAAAGAUGGCCUCUUGCUGUCGCUGAAAGAUGAACUUGCGUUCUAUUAGCUAGUUGGUGGGGUAAAGGCUCACCAAGGCGAUGAUGGAUAGCCGGCCUGAGAGGGUGAACGGCCACAUUGGAACUGAGAAACGGUCCAGACUCCUACGGGAGGCAGCAGUGAGGAAUAUUGCACAAUGGGCGAAAGCCUGAUGCAGCGACACUGCGUGAAGGAUGAAGGUCUUAGGAUUGUAAACUUCUGUUAAGUGGGAAGAAAGACUCGCUCCAAAUAAGAGCGAGGGAUGACGGUACCACUAGAGAAAGCACCGGCUAACUUCGUGCCAGCAGCCGCGGUAAUACGAGGGGUGCAAACGUUAUUCGGAAUUACUGGGUGUAAAGGGUACGUAGACGGCAUAUUAAGUCAAUUGUUAAAUUCCCCAGCUUAACUGGGGGUAGGCGGUUGAAACUAAUAAGCUAGAGGAUGAGAGAGAGAAGUGGAAUUCUCGGAGUAGCGGUAAAAUGCGUAGAUCUCGAGAGGAACACCGAUGGCGAAGGCAGCUUCUUGGCUCAUUUCUGACGUUGAGGUACGAAAGCGUGGGGAGCAAACAGGAUUAGAUACCCUGG
rnacentral:rRNA from 1 species